GCCAACACUCAGCAGACGGAGGAUGGGUGCACCAGCAGAUGAAGAUGAAGAAACUGACCAGUUAAUCAACUAGCUCAAGGUCAUGCAGCUGGCAAAUGGCAGAGCCAGGACUCGAAUCCAGGCAUUCUGGCUCCAGUACUCAAAAACUGCACAAUAAUCUGCGUCACUCCAAAAUAGGAAAGGAUGACAAAUGUUGCAGGGCCGUCCAGGAAGCUGAGGAUUGAAAAGCGCCUACUGGAUUAGGCACUACGGCCACUGUGAACUCAGCAAGAACUCGCUGCAGUCAACAGUAGGUGCUAAUGAACUGCUCAACAUUAUCAGUGCCUAGGCUCAGCUCUUUUGCGCCAGCAGAGUGCCAUAAGCACGGCCCCUCCCAGCCCCUGCUUACAUUGUCCUCCUCCUCCCACUCCUGCUCCAGACUUGUGUCAGAAAGAGGAGACUCACUCCCUAACUGUAGUCGGGAAAGACAAGACCUACGGCUCCAGCUUCCCAAGGGGGUGAAGAGAUGUGUGGGGUGCCUCUUCAUAACUCAGCAAUUGCACCCAGGCACAGAUUUACACACAUUUGGACCUCAACUCAAUAUCUAUGUCCAGCUUAGUCUCAGCAAAUCUUCAAGCAUUCACAGCUGUCUUCAGGUGCGCAGGGGAUUACUGCGGAGAGAUGUUGAUCGGCUGUUCUCCAUGUCUCCUGUGGUCAGAACAAAAGGAAAGAGGCUUAAAUGUCAGCAAGGGAUUUAAAUGUAAGUGAGAACUCUGUGAGGCAGGGAGGUCCUGUGUACACAAGCAAGAGUUUCCAGCCUUUUUGUCUUAUUUAGCCCUAAAUAUCCCCUUUGCCAUCGUACUACCUCUUUUUGUUUAUUAAAACAAAAAAUACAAAAACAACAAUAACAGCAAAUGCUUAUAUAGUUCUUACUUUGUGCCAGACACUGUUAUUAAGUUUUCUACUCCUAUUUACUCAUUCAAUACUCACAACACGAUGAGAUAAAUACUAUUACCAUCCCCAUUUUACAGAUAAGGAAACUGAGACACAAAGUGUGUGAAUAACUUGCUAAAGGUCACACAACCAACAAGUGGCAGAGCCAACGUUUGAAGCCUUGUGCCGAAGUCCAUCCUUUUAACUACUAC
rnacentral:lncRNA from 1 species